rnacentral:tRNA from 1 species
GGAGGAGUAUCCAAGUGGCUAAAGGAAGCUGUCUGUAAAACAGUCCUCUAUAUGAGUUCGUCGGUUCGAAUCCGUCCUCCUCCACCA